rnacentral:tRNA from 1 species
GGGCCGUCAGCUCAGCGGCAGAGCGCUGGCUUCUCAUCAGGAGGUCCUGCGUUCGAAACCCGGACGGCCCUCCA